rnacentral:lncRNA from 1 species
AGAAACUCCAUGCGCCGCUUCGAAGACUGGCUGUUCAAGAGCUCUCCGAACGCUCGUCUAGCUCCGAUUGCAGCGGAAUAAACAUCAUUCAGAUGACAGGUAACUCUCAGCCCUCUAUCCUCUAAUUUUGAUUUUAUCUCGAGCACAAAAAUGAAGCAAAAGGGAAAAGAAAAUCCUGAAAAGAAAAAAAUUUGAAAUCACCUUUAAUAUUCUGCUUUUUUUUUUGUUUUUUUCUUGAAUAUUCUCUUUGAUUCUUGUAUUUAAUAUGCGUGAAAAAAAAUAAUCCUCCUCGAAACGAUACAGAAAUGGGGUUUUAUAGCCCUGAAAAUACAUCCAUUUUUCCUUCUAUUUUUCUCCUAUUUUAUUUUCUGUUGCUAUUUUGUUAUUUUCCUUUUCUCUUUCUGUUUGCUGCUUGUUUGUUGCUUCUGUUGCAGGUAUAGCUGGAGUGGACGCACAUGCAGAGACGUCGUUGAUGCGCGCGGAGAACCCCUGGUUUCGGCCACAAUGCAAACAGUUCCAGAAACCCUUAGGGUUUCUGGAAACUUGAAUUUGGGCCUCCAAUAUUGGGCUAGGGUUGUUUGGAUUUUAGUGGGUUAUUUUGGGUAUUGGGUUUAUUCGGGUUUUUCUAGGCUGCUUAGGUAUUUCGGGUUUUGUAAUCGGGUUUGGGUUUAGGGUCUGUUUCAGGUUUGGACCUUAAUUGUUUGGGUUAAUUUUUGGACUAUUGGACUUUUAAUUUUGAUUUUGUUUUAUUUAGUUUUUAUAUAUGUAUAUAUAUUAUUUUUUGUGAUGUAUAUGGGCCGGGCAUAAAUUGGGUAUUACAUAUAUGUUUAAUUGGCUUGAAAUGAAAGUACCACUGAGCUUUAUCGUUCAAUGUAUGGUUUGUUUAUUCCAUACGCAAGUUUAGAUGGAUUUCGAAAUCUCGAGAAGUAACUCAGUAUCCAAUUUGUAGCCCUCAACUUAGCAAUGUUUUUAUAGUUUCUUUUACAUUUUGAUAUAAGGCAUGUACCUAGGUUUUGAGUUGGUUUUGUAUAUUAUAUGAUCAUGUUGAUAUUUAGGUUAGUAAGGGUUAACUCUAUGACCAAAUGGUAUUGCAUAUGGUAUGUUUUGUGAUUGUUGAAGUUGAAGAGAACUUGAUAUGCAUAUGUGAUAUUAGAUUGGAUGUAACGAAUUGGUACCAAAUGAAUAAAAAUGUG